rnacentral:rRNA from 1 species
GACGAACGCUGGCGGCAUGCCUAAUACAUGCAAGUUGAACGAUGAUAUUCUCUGCUUGCAGAGAAUUGAAGAGUAGCGAACGGGUGGGUAACACGUGGGGAACCUGCCCAUGGGAGGGGGAUAACAUUCGGAAACGGAUGCUAAUACCGCAUAAUGCUUUGGACCGCCUGGUCCAGAGACGAAAGACGGCUUUUGCUGUCACUCAUGGAUGGCCCCGCGCCGUAUUAGCUAGUUGGUGAGGUAAUGGCUCACCAAAGCUGUGAUACGUAGCCGACCUGAGAGGGUGAUCGGCCACACUGGGACUGAGACACGGCCCAGACUCCUACGGGAGGCAGCAGUAGGGAAUCUUCCACAAUGGGCGAAAGCCUGAUGGAGCAAUGCCGCGUGAAUGAAGAAGGUCUUCGGAUCGUAAAGUUCUGUUAUUAGAGAAGAACAAGUCAAGGAGUAACUGUCUUGACUUUGACGGUACCUAACCAGAAAGUCACGGCUAACUACGUG